UCUAUUUUACUUCACAAUGAAAUUGUGUCAUGUUUACACAUCUUUUACACACCCUUCUCUCCUUAAACUAAAUUCCAUUGGCUUUGAUCCAUUAUACAGGAGGUGCUGUCAUGCAGAGUUUGCUGUCUGAAAUCCUUACCCAGCAGGUCUGGGUGAUCCAGAUGUGCUUCGCACAGAGCUCUCCACGCGGGUGCUAGCUACUUCAGAAGGCUGAGGGGGAAUCAGACUUUUCCGGACUGCCAGUCUGGAAGACAUAGAUAAGCUUGAAACUGCUGCCGCUCAGCUUGAGUGGACAGCUCUUCAGAGACCAAUCCAUAUGGUGGAAAAGGAGAGAAGGACAGACGUUUUAAUGAGAGCAAGCAAAACCCAGGAGGACCAUGGAACUCUCCAGCUGCAACUGGUGAAUGGAGACCAUGCUUCCCUCCCAGGCCUCACAGGAAGAUUUUAAAAGAAAACUACAACCUCCUCCACAGAUAAGUGGUUGAAGACAGACACAGCUUGCUGGAAUACAUUCAAAGAUGAACCCACUCAGACAAAGGUUAAGUGAUGUGCCUAAAGUCACACAGCAAGUCAUUGGCAGAGCAGAGGAAAGAACCCACAUCUCCUGACACACUCAUGUGCUGUAUCAAUUGGACCUUAGCAGAGAAAUCUCUAACUUCUAUAUAGUAUUUCUGACAUUCACAGGGAUAUCAGUCUUCUCUAUUCCCCGUUAAUGCGGUCUAUGUGAAUGUCAGGAAUCUUGGGGCUCCUCAAGACACUUUCCUUAUGUGUUUACCUCAGGGUUGAUUCCGUAGCAUGUGCUGCUGUUGUAGUAAUAACUGGAGACUGAGCUCUUGUGGCAGAGACUGUUGCUAUUACAGCAGGAGGGAUAGUGCUUGACGUCGUCACAGGAGGACGAGACUGUAAAGACAACAGA